ensembl:lncRNA
AUUAGGGGCUGGGAAUGGGCAGUGACGUGCUCUUUACGACAGGCAUAUAUACAGAUACCUGGGGUCCUUGGCCAGGUAACUCGUCUAUGCUGCUAGCUUUGUUUGUGCGAGGCAGCGUUGUGGGUUCUGUGGUUCGUUUGAAGAUCGUGUGGGAGGGAGCCAAAACAGACGUGGCUGUGAAUUGUCUUCCGUAGCGGCGUGAUGAUUGUUGUGAUUAACUAACGCCACCACAGGUAUGUGAAACCACGCUGAUGGUCUUUUGAGUGCACUUUAACACUUGCGUCUUAUUGGCGCUGUAUGUUUUAACUAAAUUGUAAUUUAUUUAUUAGCUCAUGUAAAGGGAUAUGUGCAAUGUGUAUUGUGGAAUGCAAACAUUUUAAUGUGUGUUUGUUUGUUCAUAGACCGACGCAGCUUCACGAUGCUCGCUGCUGUUCUUUUAUGAUUGGUUGUAUGCGUGUGUGAGUUUGCUACUCCGAGUGAUGUGGUUUGAUUUUCCCUCUAGCCUGGGGACUGUUUCUAUGUCCUGGUGAACGUGUUGUGAGUCCCAGGUUAGAGGGGUUUUCUCUUUCUUUUGUGUUGUCCCUUGUGUUCCCCAUAGUCAGCCCCGGUACUGGUCCAGCCACAACACCUUAUAGGCCCAGGGAAGCCGGUCUCCGUAGUGUGAAACUUCACCUAGUGACUAGUGUUGCCUUGCUGUGUAUUCCUUAACAUAUCUGAGUGGUUCACUUGAAGUUUGUAGUGUGUUGCCUAAAAAAGGGUUGUGUGCACCUAUUCACGUGUGGUAUUGAGACCGUAGCUUCCACUAGCUUCCUUCCCCUAAUCAGUGGGUGGACUGAUUAACCGGCGGCUGUUACUAUUCCCUUGAUGUAUUUAUUGACCACACUGUACAACCUCC